ACGCUAGCUACAGGCUUAACACAUGCAAGUCGAGGGGCAGCAUGGUCUUAGCUUGCUAAGACUGAUGGCGACCGGCGCACGGGUGAGUAACACGUAUCCAACCUGCCGUCUACUCUUGGACAGCCUUCUGAAAGGAAGAUUAAUACAAGAUGGCAUCAUGAGUCCGCAUGUUCACAUGAUUAAAGGUAUUCCGGUAGACGAUGGGGAUGCGUUCCAUUAGAUAGUAGGCGGGGUAACGGCCCACCUAGUCUUCGAUGGAUAGGGGUUCUGAGAGGAAGGUCCCCCACAUUGGAACUGAGACACGGUCCAAACUCCUACGGGAGGCAGCAGUGAGGAAUAUUGGUCAAUGGGCGAGAGCCUGAACCAGCCAAGUAGCGUGAAGGAUGACUGCCCUAUGGGUUGUAAACUUCUUUUAUAAAGGAAUAAAGUCGGGUAUGUAUACCCGUUUGCAUGUACUUUAUGAAUAAGGAUCGGCUAACUCCGUGCCAGCAGCCGCGGUAAUACGGAGGAUCCGAGCGUUAUCCGGAUUUAUUGGGUUUAAAGGGAGCGUAGAUGGAUGUUUAAGUCAGUUGUGAAAGUUUGCGGCUCAACCGUAAAAUUGCAGUUGAUACUGGAUAUCUUGAGUGCAGU
rnacentral:rRNA from 1 species